rnacentral:tRNA from 1 species
UGGCGCAAUCGGUUAGCGCGUUCGGCUGUUGACCGAAAGCUUGGUAAUUCAAACCCACC